rnacentral:rRNA from 1 species
UCCGGUUGAUCCUGCCAGAGGCCGCUGCUAUCCGGCUGGGACUAAGCCAUGCUAGUCUAGGGGCUUGUACCCCUUCGGGGGUGCAAGCACCGGCGGACGGCUCAGUAACACGUGGACAACCUGCCCUCGGGUGGGGGAUAACCCCGGGAAACUGGGGCUAAUCCCCCAUAGGUGAUGGGUGCUGGAAUGCCCCAUCUCCGAAAGCGCUCAGCGCCCGAGGAUGGGUCUGCGGCGGAUUAGGUAGUUGGUGGGGUAACGGCCCACCAAGCCUAAGAUCCGUACGGGCUGUGGGAGCAGGAGCCCGGAGAUGGACCCUGAGACAAGGGUCCAGGCCCUACGGGGCGCAGCAGGCGCGAAACCUCCGCAAUGCGGGAAACCGCGACGGGGUUAGCCGGAGUGCCCGUGCAUUGCACGGGCUGUCGGGGUGCCUAAACAGCACCCCAUAGCAAGGGCCGGACAAGGCCGGUGGCAGCCGCCGCGGUAAGACCGGCGGCCCGAGUGGCGGCCACUCUUAUUGGGCCUAAAGCGUCCGUAGCCGGCCCAGUAAGUCCCCCGGGAAAUCUGGUCGCUUAACGAUCAGACUUCCGGGGGAUACUGCUGGGCUAGGGACCGGGAGAGGCCGAGGGUAUUCCCGGGGUAGGGGUGAA